rnacentral:rRNA from 1 species
GUGAACGCUGGCGGUAGGCCUAACACAUGCAAGUCGAACGGCAGCACAGUAAGAGCUUGCCCUUACGGGUGGCGAGUGGCGGACGGGUGAGGAAUACAUCGGAAUCUACUUUUUCGUGGGGGAUAACGUAGGGAAACUUACGCUAAUACCGCAUACGACCUACGGGCGAAAGCAGGGGAUCUUCGGACCUUGCGCGAUUGAAUGAGCCGAUGUCGGAUUAGCUAGUUGGCGGGGUAAAGGCCCACCAAGGCGACGAUCCGUAGCUGGUCUGAGAGGAUGAUCAGCCACACGAGAACUGAGACACGGUCCAGACUCCUACGGGAGGCACCAGUGGGGAAUAUUGGACAAUGGGCGCAAGCCUGAUCCAGCCAUACCGCGUGGGUGAAGAAGGCCUUCGGGUUGUAAAGCCCUUUUGUUGGGAAAGAAAAGCAGCAGGUUAAUACCCCGCUGUUCUGACGGUACCCAAAGAAUAAGCACCGGCUAACUUCGUG